UACGUAAGGUGCGAGCGUUGUCCGGAAUUACUGGGCGUAAAGAGCUCGUAGGUGGUUUGUCGCGUUGUUCGUGAAAACUCACAACUCAAUUGUGGGCGUGCGGGCGAUACGGGCAGACUGGAGUACUGCAGGGGAGACUGGAAUUCCUGGUGUAGCGGUGGAAUGCGCAGAUAUCAGGAGGAACACCGGUGGCGAAGGCGGGUCUCUGGGCAGUAACUGACGCUGAGGAGCGAAAGCGUGGGGAGCGAACAGG
rnacentral:rRNA from 1 species